rnacentral:rRNA from 2 species
UACGGGGGGGGCAAGCGUUGUUCGGAAUUACUGGGCGUAAAGGGCGCGUAGGCGGUUUGCUAAGUUGGAUGUGAAAACUCUGGGCUUAACCCAGAGCCUGCAUCCAAAACUGGCAAACUUGAGUACUGGAGGGGAAAGCGGAAUUCCUGGUGUAGCGGUGAAAUGCGUAGAUAUCAGGAGGAACACCGGUGGCGAAGGCGGCUUUCUGGACAGUAACUGACGCUGAGGCGCGAAAGCUAGGGGAGCAAACAGG